rnacentral:rRNA from 1 species
GAUGAACGCUGGCGGCGUGCCUAAUACAUGCAAGUCGAGCGAACGGACGAGAAGCUUGCUUCUCUGAUGUUAGCGGCGGACGGGUGAGUAACACGUGGAUAACCUACCUAUAAGACUGGGAUAACUUCGGGAAACCGUAGCUAAUACCGGAUAAUAUUUUGAACCGCAUGGUUCAAAAGUGAAAGACGGUCUUGCUGUCACUUAUAGAUGGAUCCGCGCUGCAUUAGCUAGUUGGUAAGGUAACGGCUUACCAAGGCAACGAUGCAUAGCCGACCUGAGAGGGUGAUCGGCCACACUGGAACUGAGACACGGUCCAGACUCCUACGGGAGGCAGCAGUAGGGAAUCUUCCGCAAUGGGCGAAAGCCUGACGGAGCAACGCCGCGUGAGUGAUGAAGGUCUUCGGAUCGUAAAACUCUGUUAUUAGGGAAGAACAUAUGUGUAAGUAACUGUGCACAUCUUAACGGUACCUAAUCAGAAAGCCACGGCUAGCUACGUG